GUGUGAUUACCCUCUGCUGAAAGGAUAAAAAGGCAACCUGACGGGUUAUCCUGUGGGAUUUUUCAGAUUUGAAUACAGCAGAGAUACAGCAGCAGACAAGAGCCACUACACUUGUUUGCACUACUGCAGCCACAGGAAAGAUAAAAGUCCCAGUGUCAGAGCUUUUACCCAGGUUGCUGAAUUGUUGGUGUAUUCAGAAGAGAUGGAUGCCUCCAGUGACAUAUGAAUGAGCUACACACAUUGCCUGUGCCCUGUGCAAGGUCAAGUGCUCUGAAAGAAGCCCAGACAGCUUCCUUGUCCUGCCUGGCUCAGGAAAUGUGGACACAGAACCAUGAGGAGUGAGCAGGACACUGGGGUGUGCAGGGAGAACAGAGGACUGAUCAAUGUGGCGUGCCAAGGGAUGGAACAGCAGCACUGGACUACUUUGCUUGCUGUGGCAGGAAUGCAAACUGGUGCUGGAUUUUGAUCUGACUGGUAAGCAAGGACAUCUACGAGGUGAGGCUGGGUGCAGUACAGAGGUUUCCUCACUUUUGUGCUGGCUGGAGACACACCACCCCAGAGAACCCCAAUUCCCAGAGUGGUUUAAUGCACAUUACACAGCAUGAAUACUUUGUAAGACCGAAGCAGUUCUGCUUACUGAUGUCAUUGUGCUGGAUGUGGUACAUGAGGAUUGGUUCUAUUGAUUAUUACUAAAAUGUUGUCUCUGCUGAUUUUUGCCUAUUCCAAAGAAGGUUCUGCUGGCUAAAACCAAAUAAAACAUUUUGUACCAUUCCACCCAGUUAGCUGCAACAGCUUUGAUGUAAAUCCCCCGUGAUUUCCCUAUGGCAUUACUUUUGCUACCUUCCUGGACUCCCCAAGCCUGACACUAAGCACAAGGAUUUUGACUGUUAACAAACGGGAUGAGUUCACCAAGUAGUGCUUCACAGGGAGCAAAAAUAAAAUAAAAUAAAAUAAAAUAAAAUAAAAUAAAAUAAAAUAAUUCCCACUUGUGCUUUGCCCUGACUGACAGCAUCUAAACCUGUGACAAUGACGUGGCUGUUGCUGGCAGCCACAGCUGACAGCGCUGUGGUGGGGGUGGAGGAUCAGGCUCAGCGAAUUCAUGGUAGGUAUCUCUGUGCACUCAGCUUUCUCUUGUGCAGUUGCAAUACAAUUCACCACCUGAGCUACUGCAGGACUACUCAUUCAGCUGGCACAACCUCCCUGCCUGAGGAAGUGCUGCUUAUACAAAUAAGGUCUGUGGAUCAUCUUUGCUGCCCCUUCAGAGCUCCAGUGACUUGGCUAGGAAACUGCACUCGAUGAAGCAUGUCCCUAAGGUGCCAUUGACACGCUGACUUGGGUGACACUUCAGCUUUUCACACUCCAGGAGCAUUCAUGCAUUGUCCAGCUGUUGCCACACAUUUAGACAGGCUACCUGCCAUAUGGUGAUGUAAGAUAAGUCGUUUUAAUGACAUAUUGGAGAGCAAAAUUUGAGGGUUUUGUUUCAUCUUAUGAUGUCUUUGCUGGAGAAGAGUUGCUGCUGAGAAGAAAUCAUUAUUAUGCCAGCAAGAAUACUUGUCUAGCACAAACUGUUUCUGCAGUAGAGAAAGGUUUUUGUGGCCUCCCCAAAUUUUUAACGUAGCUGCAGUUUUUGCUCUUAAUAUAACAAGGCUUCCUAAAGUACAUGUUCUAAGUCACUAGCAGCUCACUGCAAAUGUCAAAUAUCAAAUAAUUAAUAACAAAGCUGACUCCCAAAUUAACUCAAAGAAAAAUCUAGUGGUCCAGAAAUAUUCUCAUUAAUUGUUCUGUAGACCAGUAGAAAUCAAAAGUCAUCAAUUAGCCCUGUCCUCUUCCUCCCCUAAGCCAUGGCUUAAAAAUCAGGUGUCAUAUUUUUGUGGUUAAAUCAGUCUGAAUUAUUUUGUUUGCCUUGUGGUAACUUGAGUCUGUAUCUCAUAGCUGGAUCAUGUUUUCAAUUAUGAUUUAAAGUCCCCACAACAGCUGCAGAUUUCCUGUUUAAGGAAAGCCAAGAUUCUCCCAGACCUGACCCAUUGUGGGUAAAGAAAUGAAUUUUGUUACCCUGCUAAAAGUGCAGGUGCUGGCCACUGUGAAUACAAGUCGUAUGUUUCAAAGACAGACAAUAAUCUACAGAAUCAAGUAAUA